rnacentral:rRNA from 1 species
AUGACUUGGUGGGAUCAGCUGGAGCACGGAUCUGCCGAAACGACUCAGCUAUGGUGUCAAAUACCACCAGUUCCCAUCCAGCCUCACAAUCCUCCAGUGGGUUCUCGCCUAGGCGAUAAAACAGGCACCAAUGCAGGCUAUCACGCACCCGGGCAGGUCCGUCGAAGUAAGCCGACGAGAAUUUGGGCUCCGACAACCCGAUGUACCUCGGUGGCUGCUCGGAUCCCAACGCAAAGACAUAGCAGCCAUUUUGCCUGUAGGCGAGUCACAGUCACUGUCGUCCCCCCAGUCCAUUGCGCCCCUCCACUGCAUAACAGCCGGUACUCACCGGUAGGUCCGUGUAGGUACAUCCCCAGGAUGUUGAAGUCCGGCAGGGCCGGGAGGGAGGCGUGCUGA